rnacentral:rRNA from 1 species
AUUGAACGCUGGCGGCAGGCUUAACACAUGCAAGUCGAGCGGAGAUGAGGUGCUUGCACCUUAUCUUAGCGGCGGACGGGUGAGUAAUGCUUAGGAAUCUGCCUAUUAGUGGGGGACAACAUUCCGAAAGGAAUGCUAAUACCGCAUACGUCCUACGGGAGAAAGCAGGGGAUCUUCGGACCUUGCGCUAAUAGAUGAGCCUAAGGCGGAUUAGCUAGUUGGUGGGGGAAAGGCCUACCAAGGCGACGAUCUGUAGGGGGUCUGAGAGGAUGGACCGACACACUGGGACUGAGGAACGGGCCAGAACCCUAAGGGAGGCAGGAGUGGGGGAUAAUGGACAAUGGGGGAGACCCUGAUCCAGCCAUGCCGCGUGUGUGAAGAAGGCCUUAUGGUUGUAAAGCACUUUAAGCGAGGAGGAGGCUACUGAGACUAAUACUCUUGGAUAGUGGACGUUACUCGCAGAAUAAGCACCGGCUAACUCUGUGCCAGCAGCCGCCGUAA